rnacentral:rRNA from 1 species
CAGUGGGCGAAGCCUGUCCGCCUGCCGCGUGAGUGAUGAAGGCCUUCGGGUUGUAAAGCUCUUUUGGCGGGGACGAUGAUGACGGUACCCGCAGAAUAAGCCCCGGCUAACUUCGUGCCAGCAGCCGCGGUAAGACGAAGGGGGCUAACGUUGUUCGGAAUUACUGGGCGUAAAGCGAGUGUAGGUGGUUGUCCAAGUUGGAUGUGAAAGCCUUGAGCUCAACUCAAGAAAUGCAUUCAGGACUGGAUGGCUAGAGGACCGGAGAGGAUAGUGGAAUUCCCAGUGUAGUGGUGAAAUACGUAGAGAUUGGGAAGAACACCAGUGGCGAAGGCGGCUAUCUGGACGGUUUCUGACACUAAGACUCGAAA